UCUCUAUCUCCAGCAAGCACACAUGCCUUAUAGCAAAAUAACAUUAAUAAUAAUAAUAUCCCAGCUCUAGGUCUCAGCUCUGGCACCACUGGGCCCUGCCAGGUUCUUAGACCGUAGCCACCACUGAGAACAGCUUUAUCACCAUCAGUCCAGUAGUGGUCAGCACAGCAUGGUGGGAAAGAUCAUCAGCUACUCUGAACAAAAAGAUUCUUUCUUGUGACUGUGAAGUUCACAUCUCUGAGGACAACUUGAAGCAGCACUAACUACCCUGAAAGACUGUCCAUUUUUCCUGGAGCUGGUCAAGUAUGUGAACUCAGGAUUGGUUGUGGCCCUGUUCUUAGAGCAACUGAACAUGGUGUAGACAGGCUCCCAAGACAUGGCAACUCCCUUGGCUGUGAUUCCUCCCACCUGUCUGACGGGAGUUUGCUUUUGCACUGCAGCUUCUCUGGCUCAUGCUCAUUCAUGGGUUGGAUGCCUCUUGUCUUCAAGUAACAGGCCCCGAUACCAAGAUGAAAACACUAUGGUCUUCUUGAGCACUGAGCCCUAAGGGAAGACAGACCCAUCCAUAGACAACCUUAACGCAAGCAUCUUCUUGGAGUACAGAGCAAAGCCGAUGGAUUCCAGCAGGAUACUCACAGGAUUUUGGCAGGCAACCGUCUCAGUUCUGAGAUAUGCCCAACCACCUGAAAAAGUAGAGCUGUGGACAGAUUUGUGGAUGUUGAAAGUGUACAGGUGAGGGGGGGGGAUUAAUAGCAUAAUCACCUGGACAUUAUUAGGCAAUGAUUAUUCCAUUUUCUGUGGCAAGCCACCUCCCUUCCAUGUUUUCUCCAAUGCAAGAGCCUGUUGGCUACUGCCAAGGCCUCACUGUGUCCAGAAACUGCAGUAUCAUCA